rnacentral:rRNA from 1 species
CCUACGGGAGGCAGCAGUAGGGAAUCUUUCACAAUGGGCGAAAGCCUGAUGGAGCAACGCCGCGUGCAGGAUGAAGGCCUUCGGGUUGUAAACUGCUUUUAUAAGCGAGAAAUAUGAUGGUAACUUAUGAAUAAGGAUCGGCUAACUACGUGCCAGCAGCCGCGGUCAUACGUAGGAUCCGAGCAUUAUCCGGAGUGACUGGGUGUAAAGAGUUGCGUAGGUGGCAUAAUAAGUAGCUAGUGAAAUCUGGUGGCUCAACCAUUCAGACUAUUAGCGAAACUGUUAAGCUCGAGACCGUUAGGGGUAACUGGAAUUGCUAGUGUAGGAGUGAAAUCCGUAGAUAUUAGAAGGAACACCAAUAGCGUAGGCAGGUUGCUGGGACGGUUCUGACACUAAGGCACGAAAGCGUAGGGAGCAAACGGGAUUAGAUACCCUUGUAGUC